UCUCGUCCUCUCACCCGUCUUUCCCCUCCGACUAACUUCACAGCGCAAGAACAAGACAACAGGUUUUUUUUUUUUCACACAGAAAAUCAUCCAAACUUCUGUCCUCCGCUUCAGAUAUAGAAGGUGACAGCUCAAUGGAUUCCAGUGGAUGACAGGUGGGAUAGGAGGGGCCAUCUGACAUGUCAGGCAGGCCCUGAACAGGAAGAGGAAGCUGAGGAAGCUUCUGGAAUGUUCCUGGG